UUCCAAAGUGUUGAGUUCAGUACAGGGCUGCUCCCCUUGUUCUGGUAAUUAAACUUUGGGACAUUGAGUGGCUGGGGAAUAUGAUGAGGGUGUUGCAUUUUGCUUUCUGCCCGUUCUAUCACUCAGCCAACAAGC
rnacentral:snoRNA from 1 species